AAUAGGAAUGAAAUCUAUACAAUACGAGGAAAACCUAGAUGGCCGUACUGCAGACACUAGGUGGAGAUACAACAUGGCCCUCCCCCAAAAGGAUACAGAAGACAAACACAGAAAAAACACAAAAAAAUAUUGGUGGAUACGGAACCCAUAACAAAAAACAACAAGAUAAAGAACCACAGAACGGCAACGCUCACCGAAUAAAGUGUGGUUUAUAAGGCUGCCUGAUGAGAAUAAAGGAGUGAAGGUGUGUGGGUCAUCAGAAAAUCUGUAUGUUUUGUUACGACGCGCGACAUACAUUUUGUCCUGAAGGUAACGGAUUUCGCGUAACUUGCCAGUGGAUCUCCAGCUUAAACCUUGAAGAAACAUUAUUUAUGGUUCCGAUGCCGCAUAACACACGACGCGUUGAGCUUGACAUCUGCAUUUAACUGCAUUGACUUACACUGACUUGAAGUUACAAUGUAUGUACAAAUAUAUAUAUAUAUGUAUAUAUCUACAAAUAUGAUUAAAUAUGUAUAUGUUUUAUAUGUUUCUACUUUCAGAGAAAUUCAUCUCUAUUAAUAAAAUAUCAGCUAUAGUAACCGCUCCAUAAUAUUAAAAAUUGGUUAAAAUUGUAUUUAAAAUUCUUUAAAAAAUUCAAUUUUUACUUUUAUAUAUUUUUAAUAAUAAUUAUUAUUAUUUCAUCUUCAUAAUGUAAAAUAACAUUAUAGAAUGCAACGUAUAAAAUAAUAUAAAAAUUCUAAAACUUUCAUAAUGAUCUAUUCCAUAUCACAAACGCU
rnacentral:misc_RNA from 1 species